ACUCGUUUGGCGCAUAGUCACUAAACUUGGAAUGAUCCAGAGAAGAUCCGCAUGGCCCCUCAGCAAGCAAGACAUGCAAAUUUGUGAAGUGUUCCAUUAUAUC
ensembl:snRNA U6 U6 spliceosomal RNA